AAAAUGCACCAGUAAUGGGUUUUCAGAAAGUCUUUGCCUCACGUGACGCUUGGAAAACUUCGGAAAUAUGGGCAAAUGGAGGCAAAAGAAGGACCCCGAAAAGUAAAACACUGUGGGCGUUGAAAACCUGAAAUAAAAAAAGAAUUAAUGCUGCAUCCGCCAGGAGAAACAAAAAGCGCGGUAACGUUUCAGGUCUGUGCCCAUCGAGUGGAUAGACUGGUGUCUGACACAUCCUGGGCAUGAUCUGAGUCUGUGGAUCGGGAACUUGACACGCAGGGAAGUUCAGUUAGAGAGGGAGCCGAGGUGAUGCUUUGCAGUGUUCCAAUUUCCAUGCAAUUUUGGCCUAAGCACAUUCCUCUAACCCUGGACUGAAGACUGCAUUGAGGUCAAGGAUGAGUCUCAGACAAGGAAUAAAAGACUCAUGACUCAGAAAGACUGUGGGUGUCAGUGAGUGGCAAUAGUCUGUUGGCUUGAGGAAUUGAACACCUGCUGCUUCGCAUCUUCCGUUAAUCAGAUGUAAAUUAUAUUAAAAAGUCAUUUAAAUAAUGCUUACUUUUACUUAGAACUUCAAAACACUAUCCUCAUUAUACCCUCCUGUGAAAUAUGGGGUAGAUUUCUUCUGUCAUAAUUAAAUUAAUGCUGGGAUUAUUCCACCUUAAAAAUGAACAGAAAGGCUGUGAAACAUGAAAUGUAUCUGCUACCAAAACCAAGCCUGCCAAUAUACUGGGAUGUAGUAAAUGGGGAGUUGGAUCGGCAGUAGAGUAUUGAAAAUGUAUUGUAAUGCCUUAGAGUGAAGCAUGUUGUCUAGAGAAUUUUAUAUCUAUUACAUAUUCUGUAAAUUGUAAUUUGAGAUGUCUUGCCCUCAGGCUGCAUAUCUGACAUGGGAUGUAUUGACUAAAUAUGAAGACUGUUAGAAUCCCACAUAUUGAACAUCCUUGCAAAAUCUGUCAUAUUCAAGUCAAAAUGGUCUUGUAAUGAUUUUGUUAACAAAUUUUAUGAGUAACAUAUUAAUUUUAAAAAGAAAAGGCAGCACCUUUGCUUAUUAUGUAGAAUGGAAAAGACAAAUAUUGGCAGAACAUGAAAAUAAAGGG